rnacentral:rRNA from 1 species
GGUAAGUUCCGACCUGCACGAAUGGCGUAAUGAUGGCCAGGCUGUCUCCACCCGAGACUCAGUGAAAUUGAACUCGCUGUGAAGAUGCAGUGUACCCGCGGCAAGACGGAAAGACCCCGUGAACCUUUACUAUAGCUUGACACUGAACAUUGAGCCUUGAUGUGUAGGAUAGGUGGGAGGCUUUGAAGCGUGGACGCCAGUCUGCGUGGAGCCGACCUUGAAAUACCACCCUUUAAUGUUUGAUGUUCUAACGUGGAUCCGUAAUCCGGGUUGCGGACAGUGUCUGGUGGGUAGUUUGACUGGGGCGGUCUCCUCCUAAAGAGUAACGGAGGAGCACGAAGGUUGGCUAAUCCUGGUCGGACAUCAGGAGGUUAGUGCAAUGGCAUAAGCCAGCUUGACUGCGAGCGUGACGGCGCGAGCAGGUGCGAAAGCAGGUCAUAGUGAUCCGGUGGUUCUGAAUGGAAGGGCCAUCGCUCAACGGAUAAAAGGUACUCCGGGGAUAACAGGCUGAUACCGCCCAAGAGUUCAUAUCGACGGCGGUGUUUGGCACCUCGAUGUCGGCUCAUCACAUCCUGGGGCUGAAGUAGGUCCCAAGGGUAUGGCUGUUCGCCAUUUAAAGUGGUACGCGAGCUGGGUUUAGAACGUCGUGAGACAGUUCGGUCCCUAUCUGCCGUGGGCGCUGGAGAACUGAGGGGGGCUGCUCCUAGUACGAGAGGACCGGAGUGGACGCAUCACUGGUGUUCGGGUUGUCAUGCCAAUGGCACUGCCCGGUAGCUAAAUGCGGAAGAGAUAAGUGCUGAAAGCAUCUAAGCACGAAACUUGCCCCGA